rnacentral:rRNA from 1 species
UACGAAGGGGGCUAGCGUUGCUCGGAAUCACUGGGCGUAAAGGGCGCGUAGGCGGCCAUUCAAGUCGGGGGUGAAAGCCUGUGGCUCAACCACAGAAUUGCCUUCGAUACUGUUUGGCUUGAGUCUGGUAGAGGUUGGUGGAACUGCGAGUGUAGAGGUGAAAUUCGUAGAUAUUCGCAAGAACACCGGUGGCGAAGGCGGCCAACUGGACCAGUACUGACGCUGAGGCGCGAAAGCGUGGGGAGCGAACAGG